rnacentral:rRNA from 1 species
CCCGGCUGCCACGCAUGCAGUUCGAGCGCAGGAAGUUAUCUGAUCCUCUUUUAGAGGUGACGAUAAUGGAAUGAGCGGCGGACGGGUGAGUAACACGUAGGCAACCUGCCUGUAAGACUGGGAUAACUCGUGGAAACGCGAGCUAAUACCGGAUAACACUUUUCAUCUCCUGAUGAGAAGUUGAAAGGCGGCUUUUGCUGUCACUUACAGAUGGGCCUGCGGCGCAUUAGCUAGUUGGUAAGGUAAUGGCUUACCAAGGCGACGAUGCGUAGCCGACCUGAGAGGGUGAUCGGCCACACUGGGACUGAGACACGGCCCAGACUCCUACGGGAGGCAGCAGUAGGGAAUCUUCCGCAUGGACGAAAGUCUGACGGAGCACGCCGCGUGAGUGAUGAAGGUUUCCGAUCGUAAACUCUGUGUUAGGGAAGACAGUGCAUAGUACUGAUGGCACCUUGACGUACUACCAGAAGGCCCCGCUACUACGUGCAGCAGCCGCUGACACUGCGUAUAUAAUGUCGGAGUGCAACAUCCACUAGGCGUAUGGCGACUCUGUGUUCAUGUUAACUGACCGGAGAGGAGCGAAAGCGUGGGGAGCGAACAGGAUUAGAUACCCUGGUAGUCCACGCAGUAAAGAGAUGAGUGCUAGGUGUUAGGGGGUUUCCGCCCCUUAGUGCUGAAGUUAAUGCAUUAAGCACUCCGCGUGGUGAGUACGGCCGCAAGGCUGAAACUCAAAAGAAUUGACGGGGGCCCGCACAAGCGGUGGAGCAUGUGGUUUAAUUUGAAGCAACGCGAAGAACCUUACCAGGUCUUGACAUCCUCUGAACACUCUAGAGAUAGAGUUUUCCCUUCGGGGACAGAGUGACAGGUGGUGCAUGGUUGUCGUCAGCUCGUGUCGUGAGAUGUUGGGUUAAGUCCCGCAACGAGCGCAACCCUUGAUCUUAGUUGCCAGCAUUCAGUUGGGCACUCUAAGGUGACUGCCGGUGACAAACCGGAGGAAGGUGGGGACGACGUCAAAUCAUCAUGCCCCUUAUGACCUGGGCUACACACGUGCUACAAUGGAUGGAACAAAGGGAAGCGAACCCGCGAGGUCAAGCAAAUCCCACAAAACCAUUCUCAGUUCGGAUUGUAGGCUGCAACUCGCCUACAUGAAGCCGGAAUCGCUAGUAAUCGCGGAUCAGCAUGCCGCGGUGAAUACGUUCCCGGGCCUUGUACACACCGCCCGUCACACCACGAGAGUUGGUAACACCCGAAGUCGGUGAGGUAACCUUUUGGAGCCAGCCGCUCGA